AGCAGCCGCGGUAAUUCCAGCUCCAAUAGCGUAUAUUAAAGUUGUUGCAGUUAAAAAGCUCGUAGUUGAAUUUCGGGAUCAAUAUGUCGGUCGUGCCUUCGGUACGUACUGGUAUCAUUGGUCUCUCCUUUCUGACGAACCAUGAUGUCAUUAAUUUGGUGUUGUGGGAAAUCAGGACUGUUACUUUGAAAAAAUUAGAGUGUUUAAAGCAGGCUCGCGCUUGAAUACAUUAGCAUGGAAUAAUGAAAUAGGACGUUUGAUUCUAUUUUGUUGGUUUCUAGGAUCGACGUAAUGAUUAAUAGGGAUAGUUGGGGGCAUUAGUAUUCAAUUGUCAGAGGUGAAAUUCUUGGAUUUAUUGAAGACUAACUACUGCGAAAGCAUUUGCCAAGGAUGUUUUCAUUAAUCAAGAACGAGAGUUAGGGGAUCGAAGACGAAUCAGAUACCGUCGUA
rnacentral:rRNA from 1 species